AUUUUAUUGAGACAGGCGGUGCUAGCAUGCCUGCAGUGUCGUGGAGAAGGCAAAGGUAUGCUGGAUCCGCGACGUAAAACACAAAUCUAUCCAUGCAAGCAUUUACCGCCAUCUUAUGGCGGUUUUUUUUGCCCAAAAUAAGCGGCGCUGUCUAAAUAAACGCCGUCGCGCGGCGCUGGCGCCUUGCGAUUUUAUUUUAUGCUGAAAAA
rnacentral:sRNA from 1 species